UACGGGGGGAGCAAGCGUUGUUCGGAUUUACUGGGCGUAAAGGGCGCGUAGGCGGCGCAACAAGUCACUUGUGAAAUCUCCGGGCUUAACCCGGAGCGGCCAAGUGAUACUGUCGUGCUAGAGUGCGGAAGGGGCUACUGGAAUUCUCGGUGUAGCGGUGAAAUGCGUAGAUAUCGAGAGGAACACCUGCGGCGAAGGCGGGUAGUUGGGCCGACACUGACGCUGAGGCGCGAAAGCCAGGGGAGCGAACGGG
rnacentral:rRNA from 1 species